rnacentral:rRNA from 1 species
UACAGAGGCCUCGAGCGUUAGGCGGAAUCACUGGGCUUAAAGCGUGUGUAGGCGGACUUCUAAGUGCCUUGUGAAAUCCCACGGCUCACCCGUGGAACUGCUGGGCAUACUGGGAGUCUUGAGCCACCUAGGGGCGAGCGGAACAAAUGGUGGAGCGGUGAAAUGCGUAGAUAUGCGGAGGAACACCGAUGGCGAAGGCAAUCCCCUGGGCCUGCACUGACGCUCAUGCACGAAAGCGUGGGGAGCAAACAGG